CUGUUGGCAGCCGUGGCAAAUCUAAAGCUCGGCCCGGGAUCGGUGGACAGACAGACAUCAGUAGGCUUGCUUGCCGGCGUGCAACUUCAAGUAGUGGUACAGAACAGAACAGAACAACCAGGGCUGGCCCAGCCGCGCUCUCUCGCCUCUAGCUCUUGUCUCGUCUGGCCGCAGCAGACGCGAGCUGCGCCGCUUGAUGUGUUUGUUACACUUGCACCAAGAGUGAGAGAGAAGUUUGCUGCCACGCGGGCUUGAGAUUAUUCACAGGAAUUUUUUUUGUUUGUUUCGUUGCAAAAAUCCACUAUAGUUAUUAUUCUGUGUUUUCAACUUUUUGAGGCGCAUGAUUUGUCUCCAUCCCUGCCUCUAUUUCGGAGAGAUUUUAUAAAAGGUUUUUGCUUCAGAGCAAGUGUUUUCCCUCAAGGAUCUGAAAAUGAGUUUGGAUUGGGAUCCGGAAAUGUCUCCCGUAUUCACGACGCGAAGGGCUGGCCCUCGUUAAUUGGAAUUCCAUCAUCCGGAUAACCCGUAAACUGACGAGGGAAGUGAUUUCCUGGAAGUGAAUGGUGUGUGGAUUAACGGAAUAAUAUGUGUCUGAGUGCUUUUAGAGCUGCAACCAUAUCUUUAUCUUUUCCUUUAUUUGUACAUAAAUGAAUAUAAUUUGUGCUGCAAAAGAGAAAAGAUCAUUUGUUUCAAAGAGGAACUUCGAUGUUGCUGAGUGCUUUUGGAGCAGCAAGCAUAAUCUCUAUUCCUUUAUUUUAACAUAAAUGAAUAUUUGUGCUGCAAAACAGAAAAGAUCAUUUAUUUCAAAGAGGAACUUCGAUAUUAUUGAUAUUAUUUCAGUGGUGGAUAAUAUUAUUAUUAUAAUGGCAGUGAGUUUAGUACCGUGAGGUCUACUGAGUGCUACAAGGCCUAAUGGUGAGCUGUUCUCACGCUGCCGGACGGAGUUACCUGUUCCUAGGAAUGUUCUCUCCUCACUGCUUCUGAACGUCUCGGAGACAGCGUCGGCGUGAACCUUCUGUUGCACCUUAUCAAGUACAAUUAUUGUCGGGGAAAGCAAAGACAGGCGUAUAAAGAACAAUGAGAACAUAAGCGACCAAUCUUACCUCAAAAGAGUAAGAAGAUUAUUUGUACUAUACAAAACACCAACACAAACAACCAGAAAGCAAGCCCCCCAUUGA